AUACGGAGGGUCCGAGCGUUAUCCGGAAUCAUUGGGUUUAAAGGGUCCGUAGGCGGGAAUCUAAGUCAGUGGUGAAAUCUUGCAGCUCAACUGUAAAAUUGCCAUUGAUACUGGAUUUCUUGAAUUAGUGUGAAGUGGUUAGAAUGUGUAGUGUAGCGGUGAAAUGCAUAGAUAUUACACAGAAUACCAAUUGCGAAGGCAGAUCACUAACACUAUAUUGACGCUGAGGGACGAAAGUGUGGGGAGCGAACAGGAUUAGAAACCCUAGUAGUCC
rnacentral:rRNA from 1 species